GCCAAAGAAAAGUAGACUUCUUUGCUCUGGACCUCUAGUACCACCAGGGGGAAGUAUGGAAGAUAUGUUAAAGGAACAUGAGAGACAAAUCCAAGAAGCAGUUCGAAAAGCACGUCUAGAAAAAGGAAGGACCAAAAAGAAUUGUUAUGAUUAUGACUAGGCCAAAUUCAUGAUCCUCCUCCUCCUAUCUUUUGAACUGAUUGCUCACUUCUGCCGGAACAAUUUACUUCUUUUGUCAUAUAAAUGAGAUCCACAGCUGUAAAGGACCUAGGAGGCGAG
rnacentral:misc_RNA from 1 species